rnacentral:rRNA from 1 species
CAAGUCGUGGGGCAGCAGGGGCGUAGCAAUACGUUCGCUGGCGACCGGCAAACGGGUGCGGAACACGUACACAACCUUCCUUAAAGUGGGGGAUAGCCCGGGGAAACCCGGAUUAAUACCCCGUAACAUAGUGAAGCGGCAUCGCUUUAUUAUUAUAGCAGCAAUGCGCUUAAAGAUGGGUGUGCGACUGAUUAGGCAGUUGGCGGGGUAACGGCCCACCAAACCUACGAUCAGUAACUGGUGUGAGAGCACGACCAGUCACACGGGCACUGAGACACGGGCCCGACUCCUACGGGAGGCAGCAGUAAGGAAUAUUGGUCAAUGGACGCAAGUCUGAACCAGCCAUGCCGCGUGGAGGAUGAAGGUCCUCUGGAUUGUAAACUUCUUUUAUCUGGGAAGAAAUCCACAAAUUCUUUUGUGGUUGACGGUACCAGAUGAAUAAGCACCGGCUAACUCCGUGCCAGCAGCCGCGGUAAUACGGAGGGUGCAAGCGUUAUCCGGAUUCACUGGGUUUAAAGGGUGCGUAGGUGGGUUGGUAAGUCAGUGGUGAAAUCUCCAGGCUUAACUUGGAAACUGCCAUUGAUACUAUCAAUCUUGAAUACCGUGGAGGUCAGCGGAAUAUGUCAUGUAGCGGUGAAAUGCUUAGAGAUGACAUAGAACACCAAUUGCGAAGGCAGCUGGCUACGCGGAUAUUGACACUGAUGCACAAAAGCGUGGGGAUCAAACAGGGAUUAGAUACCCUGGUAGUCCACGCCCUAAACGAUGGAUACUCGACAUACGCUAUAUACUGUGUGUGUCUGA